GUCUGGUGCCAGCAGCCGCGGUAAUUCCAGCUCCAAUAGCGUAUAUUAAACUUGUUGCAGUUAAAAAGCUCGUAGUUGAAUUUCUGCGUCACCGUAUUUUGACUUUUGUCGACUGUCGGUUUCGCUUUUGGGAUUUAUCCCUUUUUACUUUGAGAAAAUUAGAGUGUUUCAAGCAGACUUUUGUCUUGAAUACUUCAGCAUGGAAUAAUAGAGUAGGACUUUGGUUCUAUUUUGUUGGUUUGUGAACCUUAGUAAUGGUUAAUAGGAACGGUUGGGGGCAUUCGUAUUUAACUGUCAGAGGUGAAAUUCUUAGAUUUGUUAAAGACGAACUACUGCGAAAGCAUUUGCCAAGGACGUUUUCAUUAAUCAAGAACGAAAGUUAGGGGAUCGAAGACGAUCAGAUACCGUCGUAGU
rnacentral:rRNA from 1 species